rnacentral:rRNA from 1 species
UUGGACCUGAUAUCAGGGAAGAUUACCCGCUGAACUUAAGCAUAUCAAUAAGCGGAGGAAA